CUUAUCCAGUGUGCGUCGUUGUCGUCAUUUUUGCAUUUAGUUCAGUGGCAUUCAGUUCAGCGCAGGUGAUUUUGGAACCAGAAGAUGCUGGUAAAACCAAUAGUAAUGUUGUUCAAGAUAAUGGUUUAGUGAAGAAUAUUUAACCAAGCAGAAAACAGUGCCUUACUUGGUUCAGAAUUAAUGUGUAGAAAAAUAUUUUUUUGAUAUUAUUUCAUACACCCUUGUACCAGUGUAUUUGCGGACAAAGCCAGUAAAUAAUUAAACGCCAGUUAACAUAUCGAAUGUCUGCAAUAAGUAUAACAUAUUAUCGUCUGUAAACACUUCAUUUAUUCCAGAUUUAUUUCUAAUAAGUCUCUUGAUUUCUAUUACAGUAGCUAUACAUUUACUUCUCCGUGUCUCUUUGGUUUGAUAAUACCGUUAAAUCAACUAUAAAUACACGUAUUUGUAAUGAUGCAAUUGGAGCUAGCAUGUAAAAUAUUUUAUUUUACUGGCCAUUUGCUGAUUAAGGAAUCUCACAAAAAUUAAUGAAACACAAGCUGUACUCUAAAUGAAAUGCUCACCAUAUAAGCAAGGAAUGCAGUAUUCGUAUGUAUGUGUACAGCGCAACAUAAAACAUCCAACUGCUUCUGAGAUAAGUGAAAAAGAUCACCCUAAAGAAGUUUAAUCUGCAACGUUCUGCCUAUAAUAUCGUAACCUUUAUUCCCGCUUAAACCAACGGCGUCUUUUUUAAAUUUCAUGUAAUGGAAUGGAAAACGUUCGUACUUACUCCUAAAUUGGUAGGUAAUGCGGUACAACUGUGUGUUAAACUGUUAUACAAACAAUGAAACAUCUCUAACUGCAAUCCUUGCAAUACAAAUUGUUUCUGUAACUUGAAAAUUGAGACGACUCUGUGUUCAUGAAAGGUAGACAGAAACGUUCUGCAUCAUGAAAAGAUAAGAGUACGAUUUUUGGAAGGUGCAAUCUUGGCACAUCUUAGGUUUGUUGCCAUAUAACUUUUAUAAUAUUAUUUAUGCGUAUCCUUAUUAAUUAAUUUUACAAUAUUAUAACCUUGAAAUUGUCAGCUUCACAGUAUUUUUAAGGACUAAAUAGACAAUAUUUUAACACGUGAUUCUUCAAAAUCUCAUAGUUAGUUACUUUUUGCUUCUUUCUCUAACAUAGGUGUAUGUUUGAGCUGUAGUUAUUCUAUACAUUCAAAGUAAAUUAAAUAAUUGUCCAAUGCUUAACAAGUUCUUCGAUAUGUAUUGAAGAGUUUGUUUUAACUACGCAGUAUAAUUUAUUUUGAUAGUUUUUUAGAGAUGAAGCGGUAUCUGUUCCAAUUGUCAUGUUGACAAAAACAUGUUUACUACGAUUUAUCUUCGUCGAUUUAUGUUCUACAUCCACCCUGUAGAUCCGAAUUUGUUUGAAUUUAUAUUAAUAACAAAUUCGGUUCUAGAGAGGUUUGUGUGGGGCAUUUGUUAACAGCGGUUUAAAAUACAUAUCGACGAAUUCAGUGGUAAUGUUAAAAGCACAAAUUCAAUAGUUGACAGGGAAUCGAAGUUCAACCAGUGAGUUCGGACUGUAUUUCUAAAAACAAUUUUGAUACGUAAAUCAAUUGAUAUAUUUUCUCCAGCAAAAUAAAAUACAUAGUUUUGUGUCAUUUAUGUAAACAGGUUAAGCAGACACUUACAUUGUUAUACCACUCCCAUGUUUUCAACAAUACCUCCAUGUUUUUGAUAUACAUCUCAAAAAAUUAUUAAAAGAAUCUUUAAGAAUUUUUGGAAUUUAUUAAAAAAACAAACACCUUUAAGACGUCUUUUCAGCUUGUUUCCAGCUACCGUUGGAUUACGUACCGCUUGCUUUGGAACGUAUGCCAUGUCUUUGGCAUCGAAUGCGUGUGCAAAUUAGCAUGACGUUACCUUCGAAUUUUCAAUUCUCGACACGAUCCUAGUUAAUUUGGUCUGAUCACAGGGUUAUGCAAAAUAAUAUCGUAGGUAUUUAAUAACUUUAGGAUGCGUGUUACGGAUUUUUCUUAAAGAUAACGUAAAUUUCAUGUGACUUUUGAUUCCAGGAGACAAACACAGCCCGAAAUUAAAAUAGUACCAUCAUGUUUUUUCAAAAUAAUUGCAGAAUUAUCAUGUUGAAAUAGACUAUUUGACCUCUUUAUUGCAUAUUACUUUGAUAUGUUAAUGGUACAUAUUUCAAUUACGGUGAAAUAUUCUCAAAAACAGAUGUGAAAUAAGAAUGUAAAACCACGUAAAAAAGCUUUCUUAUUUCUGUAGGAAUUUCGUUUAGGUUACGAUUCAGUUUCAAUUAAAAAUCAUUAGAAAAUACGUGAUACUCAAAAAGCAGCAAAAUUUUCAUCAUAUUUUUGAUUGACUACCAGUAUUAGACUAGACGCAACAGUUGGCUAACGAAAAUGAUGCAAACAAAUCAUGGUAGAGGUAUAUUACGACCGUAAGGAUGGUUCAAAACUCUUUUAAAUAGCUACAUGAGUCGCCAAAGUAAUGAAAAAUAUAAACUACUGCUGUCUCUGAGAAAAAGGUUAUUAUGCCAUUUUUGGCAUAAUAUAUGCAAAAUUGUUUAAAUCCACGAAAAAAAUAAAUUUUCAAUCGUGUACAUCCUUGUGGAUCUAAUUUGAAUGCAGCGGAUCUCUACAACUUGUAUUGUUAAAAUUUCUGGAAGUUUAUUUCAUGAAUGAGUUUUCGUGUUAAUUAAUGAAAAAAAACUGGCGAAAAAACGAAUGAAAGCAAUACAAAAUAUUGUUUUUUGGUGUUUUAAACAUCCUGACACCAAAGCGGGAAAGACGGACACUUUGUCAUAGGGAAAGAUGGACACCAAAUUUGUUGAGUUAUUUUACAUCUUAUAUCAAUUGGUGAUGAAUAUAUUUCUUCAAACACUUUAAAUAAUGGUAUAUUGAAGAUAUAAACCAUUACAAAACUAAAAAAAGUAAUAAAUAAGCGAGAAAUGAAUCACCGGUCGAAAUAGUAGCCAUUCGUUAUGCUAUUACUCGCUCGACGGUGAUGAGGUGCUUCACAAAAUCCAACAUCUUGUCAAGACUUGGAAAACUUUAAGCAAUAAAAAGAUGAGGCAUUGAUACGACAUCGUUGAGGAAUAGAUGAGAAAUUCUAUGGAAUUACAAACAUCAAAUGUUGAAUUUUGACAUGGCGGAAAAUGGCUUAAAAAUACUGGGGUCGUGGACUUUUUCGGAGAAAUUUCCUAAAAGGAAGUUCUAGAGUGUUGUUCUGUAAGCUGGAGCAACGUCAGCUGUUAGUAUGCAAUAUUUCAAUAAUGCUUUAGAUGCUGCAUUCUAUGAUAUAAUACAAGCGCCGGUUACAAUUUCUAAAUUCAUGGCUGAAUGAACCGUCAUUGCAAUUGGCCUACAAUUGGUUUAUGUACGAACGAUGAUGUGGAAAGCAAUAGGAUAUGUUAAAAUACUGUAAGCCUCUUCAAUUUCCAACGUUUUGUAUAGGUCUCUUACCCUUCACGUUGUCCAUCUUUCCCAUAUCAGGUAUCCAAACAUUUCAAAACUGCACGAAAAAAAAUAAUGUUUUUCAUUUAUGAAAAAAAAAAACGCAAAAAUCGAUGGAAAUUUAAAAGAUUCAACACAUUCUGACAAAACAUUAGUUUAAGAUAAUGUUUGCUCAUUUUCAUUUUAGCUACGUUCCCCUACCAUUUUCGUUGUUUAAAAAGUGGUUUAUCAAAUUUUGCAAUAAAUUAAGUCAUACAAUACAGGAUCUUUGAGGAUUAUAUAGACAUGUUCAGUGAGUUGUAGUUUUGUUGAGGCAUUUAAUAGACUCUUUCAGCGAGAUAUUCAGCCGUAUCGGGGAACUCGUUCGAUCCCGGGAACGUUCGCCACGACGCUCAUUUUCACUCAUAUCAUAACCCUCUAUAAUAAAAAAUUAGAAAACCGUUUAUGUUUUGUACUGCCCAAGUCUAUUUUAUGCCUGAAUAAAACUACAAGUUGCUGAACAUAUCUAUAUAAUCCUCGAAAGCCCUGUAUAUACCUAUCUCUACGGACACGCGUGAAUUUGACGGGAUGAGAUGCGUAUUUAGAGUGGUUAAAAUCAUGAAAAAAACUAUUUUAUCAAAAUUAUGAAUCGUUUAACAUGUUUUGGUUAACAAAACAAAAUUCAAAAUAACAAAAUUCUGCAUAAUGCUAAUUUAUUGUAACAGUCGUUAUUGUUUCAUCGAACAAGUGAACCGAUAUCUUUUCGAUGCCACAUUUUGAUCGUUGAUCGCGGGAGUUUCGAAAAACACAAGGAGUAAGUUGAUCAGCAAUUCCGUUUGAGGCCACUUUAUUUAAAUUAUUAAUCAUGUUUUUCAAUGAUAUUAAGUUUUUUAGUUCUCGUUCACUCCUACAUUUGAUUUUGUUCAAAAAUGUCACAACUUAACUAAAUAAACUAAAUGUAAUCAACUCGUCCGUCAUUUUGACGGAUUUCGUAGAGAUAGGAAUACCACAUAUGUACUCGAACAUUUAUGAAAGUUAUGAAAAUAAAACUUAUGCUACAAAAUCAUA